CAAUUAUUCUAGAUGUUAUUUUUGAUCUUUUAAUUCCUCACAUUGUUUCUGAUACUACUUCUUUAAUUUUCUGUUCAAUAGCCAUGAGCCUUUUUGAAAUAAUAAUAUUGUCGACCCCCAGUUGUAUGUGCCCAAGGAGAUGGCAAACUUGAGAAACAAGAAUAAUCCUUUCAGCUGGUUUAAAGCUGAGCCCUCACUCUUGGAAUUAAGAAACUGACAAAGGAUGCAAGUUCUUGGUUUAAGGAGCCAAUGGUGUGGUUCCCAGGGACCCUCCCAAAUACACUUCCAAUCUGUUUCUGGAGGACCUGACCUGUAACUCCUGACAAUAUGUUCUGAAUGCUGAAGGAUGGAGAUACACUUUGGAGUAAGAUUCAUAUGAACUUUCAUAAAUUCUUGGGCCAAUGGACUCAAGCCCCUCAUUCAAAGAAAACACCAGAAGAGACUUGGUGUUUUGUGAAAUGGCACAUUCCAAAAUCUCUGUCACUGAGAAAAGGAUGUAAGCUCAGGAUCAAAGCAUCGUCUUCAAAGAAGGGAGACAAGGGAGGAAUGUGUUUUGCUGUUUUGGAUUUCAAGAAAUGAAACAGAAACAAGAGCUGGUUUCUUGAUAACUUUGUUCUUCUACGCUAUGGUCUGUAGAAUGAUACAGUUUCUAGUUUAAUUGGUCUGUGACCUGCAGACCCCUGUGUAAGACUCUUCCAGCUUUGAACAUACCAAAGAAAAUUUUAAAAGAAGAGGGGAGAAAAAAGGAGAAAAGUCUGCAUAUUGGGUAAAGGAUGAUUUUGUAUGUGUGUGCUUUUCUAUAGUUGCUAGGAUUUCUGCAAUGAACAUGAGUUCACUUCGAAAUCAGGAAAAACACUAAUAAAUAUUGGAGUUAAUUCUAAGUAGUUAAAAGAAUAAAAUGAUAACCAAUUAUUUUUCAAGCCAAUGCAAAUUAAAAUAAAAGAAGAAUGGCAGUAAUAAUAAGACAAAGUAGAAUUCAUCAUAAAGCAACACUUGGAAUAAAAGAGCCAUUUGUGGGCAUUUUAUGUUGAUAAAAGGUACAAUGCAGGAUGAAGAUAUUAUAAUGAUCAAAGUCACACAAUAAAAGCACAAUAUUAAAUAUAAAAAACAAAAAUUUGACAGGAAUGAAAGGGGAAUUCAGCAGAAAAACAAUUGUUAUAAGAGACGUAAGCACCAGACUUUGACAAUUAGCAGAGGAAAAAA
rnacentral:lncRNA from 10 species